rnacentral:lncRNA from 1 species
UUCCAUUGCUUCAGAUUGUGCUUCUAUUUGUUUUGGUGAUAGAAAGGAUAUCUUCGCUUUGCCUUUGCCUUAUUGUCGUCGUCUUCACCCCUGCCUCAUCGUUUCCGUCUUUACCUUCACCCCACCGUCUUAGUACCUUGCCUCAUCAUCGUCGUCUUCGCCUUUGCCUCAUCAUCGUCGUCUUCGCCUUUGCCUCAUCAUCGUCGUCUUCGCCUUUGCCUCAUCGUCGUCGUCUUCGCCGGUCGGUUAAGCAGGAAAAACCUAAAGCUGAGGGAUGAUACAUUUGUUUCUUGUUACUAGUUUUGUAAACAAACGGUUAAUUGGUAAAAUGAAACAACACAUGACCUAUUGCUUUAGAUCAAUUGUUUUCACAAAUGGAGAUAUAUUACACAAUCUUCAGCUUCCCAGGCAGACACCCACCCACAAAACCAGGGGAAUCAGAAAACAAUGUGAGGAAUCUGAUAUUCUAGCCCUGGAAACCCCAGGUGCCUUUAUGCUUCAACAAGGCUAUAAAGCAAUUAUAAUUUCAGGUAGGUCGAAAGGUGGAGAGAAAAGAUGUUCGCGAUGGGCAAUUCGAGAUCCAAGUAGAAACGUAGUGCCCAUUGUUAAAGGCUUAGAGACUCGGCAAAUGGUAUUACUGACCCAUGGUGACAGCGUUAACAAGGUUGCAGAAGGGUUGCGUUGCGCCCAAUGUAUAGUUGAACACAUACUAUGAUGAUAAAUUCUGCUCACUUUAAAUAAAAUAGUUUACAGUGUA